rnacentral:rRNA from 1 species
UACCCGCAGCACAAGUGGUGGUCAUUAUUAUUGGGCCUAAAGCGUCCGUAGCUUGCGUGUUAGAUGCCUGGGUAAAUCGAUGGGCUUAACCCAUCGAAUUCCGGGUAGACCGGCACGCUCGAGACCGGGAGAGGUGUAGGGUACUCGGGGGGUAGGGGUAAAAUCCUGUAAUCCUCCGGGGACGACCAGUGGCGAAGGCGCUACACUAGAACGGCUCUGACAGUGAGGGACGAAGCCCUGGGGCGCAAACCGG